CGUAGGUGAACCUGCGGCGGGAUCAUUACUGAGUUUACGCUCUACAACCCUUUGUGAACAUACCUACAACUGUUGCUUCGGCGGGUAGGGUCUCCGCGACCCUCCCGGCCUCCCGCCUCCGGGCGGGUCGGCGCCCGCCGGAGGAUAACCAAACUCUGAUUUAACGACGUUUCUUCUGAGUGGUACAAGCAAAUAAUCAAAACUUUUAACAACGGAUCUCUUGGUUCUGGCAUCGAUGAAGAACGCAGCGAAAUGCGAUAAGUAAUGUGAAUUGCAGAAUUCAGUGAAUCAUCGAAUCUUUGAACGCACAUUGCGCCCGCCAGCAUUCUGGCGGGCAUGCCUGUUCGAGCGUCAUUUCAACCCUCAAGCUCUGCUUGGUGUUGGGGCCCUACAGCCGAUGUAGGCCCUCAAAGGUAGUGGCGGACCCUCCCGGAGCCUCCUUUGCGUAGUAACUUUACGUCUCGCACUGGGAUCCGGAGGGACUCUUGCCGUAAAACCCCCCAAUUUUCCAAAGGUUGACCUCGGAUCAGGUAGGAAUACCCGCUGAACUUAAGCAUAUCA
rnacentral:rRNA from 1 species